rnacentral:rRNA from 1 species
AACGAACGCUGGCGGCAUGCCUAACACAUGCAAGUCGAACGAGACCUUCGGGUCUAGUGGCGCACGGGUGCGUAACGCGUGGGAACCUGCCUUUAGGUUCGGAAUAACUCAGAGAAAUUUGAGCUAAUACCGGAUGAUGUCUUCGGACCAAAGAUUUAUCGCCUUUAGAUGGGCCCGCGUUGGAUUAGCUAGUUGGUGGGGUAAAGGCCUACCAAGGCGACGAUCAGUAUCUGGUUUGAGAGGACGAUCAGACACACUGGAACUGAGACACGGUCCAGACUCCUACGGGAGGCAGCAAUGGGGAAUUUUCCGCAAUGGGCGAAAGCCUGACGGAGCAAUACCGCGUGAGGGAAGACUGCCUAUGGGUUGUAAACCUCUUUUUCUAGGGAGGAAUAAAAUGACGUGUACCUGAAGAAUAAGCAUCGGCUAACUCCGUG